AAUGCCGGAUGCUCCAUCACACUGCAUGGUGUGUUGGGAAAGCCUUUGCGGCAUGGGAUGGGGUCGCGUCCUAUCAGCUUGAUGGCGGGGUAACGGCCCACCAUGGCUUCGACGGGUAGCCGGCCUGAGAGGGCGACCGGCCACAUUGGGACUGAGAUACGGCCCAGACUCCUACGGGAGGCAGCAGUGGGGAAUAUUGCACAAUGGGCGCAAGCCUGAUGCAGCGACGCCGCGUGAGGGAUGGAGGCCUUCGGGUUGUAAACCUCUUUUGUUAGGGAGCAAGGCAUUUUGUGUUGAGUGUACCUUUCGAAUAAGCACCGGCUAACUACGUGCCAGCAGCCGCGGUAAUACGUAGGGUGCAAGCGUUAUCCGGAAUUAUUGGGCGUAAAGGGCUCGUAGGCGGUUCGUCGCGUCCGGUGUGAAAGUCCAUCGCUUAACGGUGGAUCCGCGCCGGGUACGGGCGGGCUUGAGUGCGGUAGGGGAGACUGGAAUUCCCGGUGUAACGGUGGAAUGUGUAGAUAUCGGAA
rnacentral:rRNA from 1 species